rnacentral:rRNA from 1 species
AACGAACGCUGGCGGCAGGCUUAACACAUGCAAGUCGAACGCAUCCUUCGGGGUGAGUGGCAGACGGGUGAGUAACGCGUGGGAACGUGCCCUUCAGUUCGGGAUAACCCAGGGAAACUUGGGCUAAUACCGGAUACGUGCGAGAGCAGAAAGAUUUAUCGCUGAAGGAUCGGCCCGCGUCUGAUUAGCUAGUUGGUGGGGUAAUGGCCCACCAAGGCGACGAUCAGUAGCUGGUUUGAGAGGAUGAUCAGCCAGACUGGAACUGAGAUACGGUCCAGACUCCUACGGGAGGCAGCAGUCAGGAAUAUUCCACAAUGGGGGCAACCCUGAUGGAGCAACGCCGCGUGGAGGAUGAAGGCCUUCGGGUCGUAAACUUCUUUUCUCUGUGAAGAAUAUGACGGUAACAGAGGAAUAAGGGUCUGCUAACUACGUGCCAGCCGCCGCCGUAA